rnacentral:rRNA from 1 species
UACGAAGGGGGAGCUAGCGUUGUUCGGAUUUACUGGGCGUAAAGCGCACGUAGGCGGAUCGUUAAGUCGGGGGGUGAAAUCCUGGAGCUCAACUCCAGAACUGCCUUCGAUACUGGCGAUCUUGAGUCCGGAAGAGGUGAGUGGAACUCCUAGUGUAGAGGUGGAAUUCGUAGAUAUUAGGAAGAACACCAGUGGCGAAGGCGGCUCACUGGUCCGGUACUGACGCUGAGGUGCGAAAGCGUGGGGAGCAAACAGG